GACGUAGGGCGCGAGCGUUGUCCGGAUUUAUUGGGCGUAAAGAGCUCGUAGGCGGCUUGUCGCGUCGUCCGUGAAAACCCGGGGCUCAACUCCGGGCUUGCGGGCGAUACGGGCAGGCUAGAGUUCGGUAGGGGAGACUGGAAUUCCUGGUGUAGCGGUGAAAUGCGCAGAGUAUCAGGAGGAACACCGGUGGCGAAGGCGGGUCUCUGGGCC
rnacentral:rRNA from 1 species